GGAAAAGCGUCUCUUUUCUAGCAUAGCCGCCUCCUUACACGUUGCAGUCACCGUGCGCAGAGGUGCUGAUUUAAUCAUGUGAAAAGCGUCUCCUAAAUUCAGCGACAGCUCCGGUGUGAAGGAGGUUGGUUGAAUAUGCUCCCUAUGAUAUAUAUGAGAUUGGCAUAGGAAACAUUUAUUGGAAUCAUGAACAUGACACUCCGUGUCCAGCAUCUUUUUAAGGCUCCAAGUUGAUAUCUUCUCUGAAUAGUUCCUCUGCUCAGCCUUCAUUGAUGGACAUCAAAGACUUCAUACAGCACCUCUAUUGCAGAGACCAUGCAGUGUUGCAUCUGAAAUGAAAUGCUCAGGAAGAUGAAUGAGCAGCCCUUGCAAUAAGUAGAUACAGAGACUUCUCUGAGAGGCUGCUGCUGGCAUAACCUCUUUUGGGAAAAGUCUUUCGUUUAAAGGACAUCUCUGCAAAUCAAGAAAUGAGAGUUUUGUUGUCAGCUGUGCCAGACACCAAAGAAAAAGUCAUUUUGUCCAGACACUUGAAGACUUACUUGAAGCAUGACUGUUGCACGGCCAGGCCUGAAGCAUUUCGAUCAGAAUACAGAUGUUUGCCAUUCCAGCAUCACUGCAGGAGCUGUCACCCAGAAGGAAAUGGAAAAUGCAAUAGGAGCAAAUUCUGGACGGUCUUUCAUCAAGGAGUUAAUAACCAGAUGAAGGUUCUCUUUUCAUCAGUUUGUAAGUGAUGCUCCAUUUGAUUGAAGAAGAUCAAAAAUGACGAUCAGAAAAUAACAAGGAAGUUUUAAAGGUGGCCUUUAUACAACACUUCAACCAUCUCAUUCCUGUUAUUUCAGAGAGCUGUGUCUGGUACUGGAUCUGGAAAUACGAACAUGUCUUCUCGAUGUUCUUGACCUGGCCUGCGGCCUGCAGUUGGAAUUCCCAAACCCAGGCAUGGCAGAGGAUGUCACCAUCUUCAGGUGAAGGUCUUUUGGAGGAUUGGCCCUGCAGUGGAGAAAAGAACAUGGUCAGCUUCCAGAAGCCUAUGUUCUACCUCUGAAGCAGAACUAUUAAGUGUGAGGCUAGCUUGAGAUUUCAGCUACUAAGGAAGGAAACUGAAGAGGUAGGGAAGAUGCAGUCAGCUCCUUGGCUGGAAACCAGCAGGGUUACAUUAAGGCAAUAAACUCAAACCCACACUUCUGUAAGGUCAGCAAGGAAAUGGGGAGAAGCUGCAGCCACUCAUGUCUCAGCUACUGAACAGAGACAGUUGUGGGGGUCUGAAAUAGUAUUGGCAUAACAGAGCAAUCAGAAUGAGAACACAAGAGGGACACAGUGGUACCCUCUAGUAGUGACAAUGUUGCUCCCAUCCCUUGCUGUUGUGUAUUUCAUCCAAAUACCCCAACUAUGUUCUCUUUAAUAUUAUAAGGGCUGUAGCCCUGGCUCUCUGUUGCAAAGAGGGAAACUGAGGCACAAUAAGGCAAAGAUAUCAUCCUAAACUAUUCCAUCUUGCAAUUUGAACUGUUCCCCCUGAGAAUGAGCUCACACACAUUUAUUUAUGGUUUCAGUCUAGGAGUGAUAUGGGUUUCUGGUACUUGAUAUUUCAUAGCUUCUAAUUACCCUGCAUAGUGAAGCCUGCAGAGAAUCAGAAAAUGUUACAUUUAAUUUUGGAUCAAAUUUAAUGAAGCACUGGUCUUUCGGAGAAGCACUGUAUUUUCAGGCAAUCUCAGAGAACUCAACAAAAGGCACAUUUUAUUGCAGGUGCUUUGCACAACCUUCAUCGGGAUUAAAUUUGAUGGAAAAUGGGAUAUCUGAAUAUGGAUUCAUACCACUAUACUUCUUAGAAAAUUCUUGAUCCCACAGUUCUGAAGCUCAGUUAUCUUAAGAUCUAAUUUUUAAAAUCAGUUAUCUUUUCAG